UCGUUAUUGCAGUCUCCUGCGGACAGUACUAGGCUUUUUUUUUUAAAUAAAUAAUAUUAUGAUAAAUUCUUUCUUUUGCUCCUAAAUUAACCUUUGCCAUCUGUCAAGGUCUUGAAGUGUGUAAAACUCUUGGAUCCAGUGAAAUUGUUGCAGCAGCAGCUGCAAGGGAAUUCUGCGGAGAGAAAAGGAAGUGUGGUGUGAAAUUGGAUAUUUUGGAGAAGCAGCAGGGAGGGAGAGCUUGUACCGCGCACCUAUGGGUAGUCUUCACCGAUGGCUGAAGAAUCAACCCGUUCACAGAGACAUGCCCGAUGGAGCAAAGACGUAAUAGGACAAGAGGGAAGUUACAAAGCGGUUUAGCUCGACACAAGUGGGAUUUCAUUCAACGCCAGCCACACUACAGCGCUUGCUCUAGCAAUACCAAUGUACAGAACUGAUGAUCGGACUGUUGCAUUUUACGCACAUCUUGGUAUGCCAUUCUGACCAAGGUAGGUUUCACGCCUUCAGAUACUUACAUUUUAAUCAAAGGCGGAGCAUUUUACGCAGUUGCAUUGAUUGUGGUCCAACCUGACUGACAAACAGAAAUCUGAACACAUCGUUCCUGUGAUCAUCUUCGCCAUUAUUUUUCUUUUAAACUUUGUUUUACAAAAGUAGAGGAUGAUAUGUAAUAAGGGCUUAGAAUUAUCUAGGAAGCUAAAUGACAGGUUACAGUAAAUAUCCGACUCAGACAACGAGUUUGUGAUUAAAUAUUUAAAUCCAGAAAAAUUUCAUGAAGCCUGCCAUUAAGAUUAUUUUCUAUAAUGAUCAUUAUUAAUGUUUUCCCAUUACGAAUUCUAAUGACUGAAAUUUGCUUUACAGGUUACAGUUUUUUUUGUGCUAAGCGCGUGCGUAUGUGCGCGUGCGGUCGUAUACGGACGGAUGGAAAGACGGGGCUGCCACCAGACACUGAAGAGAUAUUAAAUCACCGGACCAUUCAGAGCUUACAGAAACUGAUGGAGUAAGCUAAAGUGUGAAGGAUUGCUCCCCACUUUUUUCCACCGGCAAAUCUUCACUCUAUCAGGCUCUGUCAGGCUGGCGCUUCUACACUAGAUUGAAAAUAGCCAAGCGGUGCGGCUCCGCGUAAAGUGUAGUCCUCGGAUAAAGGGAUUCUCCUCUCACUGCAGGGCUAAAUUGACUUGCGAGUCCGGGAGUCAGACAGAGAAACACACAAAAACAGACAGUGAGGUUGAUAUGAUGCUCAAAGUGUGGUUGCAUCUUUACCAUGUUUAUUCUGGCAUAAAGCCGAAAUGACAGUGUUCCAGGGCAGUGAUGGAAAAGGUAGGCAUUUUGCUUUCUUCUUACCGACAUUGUCGCUUUCAUAUAGUUGUGACGCAAAAUGCCGCCUGAAUGACUGGACUUGUGACAUGCUUCUCUCAUACUUUUCUCCCCUUACCUUUGCACCAAUCAUAAUUUCAGUAAAAUCAUGCCUCAGAUCUGCCACAUUGAUAAAGGAACUCUAAGGGAUGCCUAAAAGUACUUUGGCAUUUACUGUCACAUUAGAAUAUUAUAAACCCAGUAGACAUCUUUACAACAUUUCACUUGCACACUCAUACUGUAUUUAGGAUCAGUAAUAAAGGUGGUAACUGAGUGUUGUCCUCUGCUGACUCACAGAGGAUGGCACCUGCAGGCCUGAAAGUAUUAAUGCACUUCUCAUUGAACUGCGUAGGACCACACCUGUCUCCAUUAUGGCAUGGUGAGACAAGUCUGGUGCCAACAUGACUCUUUUUUCACCAACAGAGGACCUCAGGGAGCAGAGACAUCCCAAAGUGUCCUGUCAGCAUCUGCAGGGAAAAGCCAAUCCCAGCAGCAGCCACAGAGCCAGCUAUCACUUCUGAAACGCAACACUACCUCCAAUAGUGCUGAGAACGCUCAAGAGAAAAGGCACAAUGCUACUGGAUCAGCUGCUGCAGUCCAGGGCUGAAGGUGACUUGUUGGCUGGGCCAAAGGCUGCAACACAGGACAUGGGUCCUUCCUCUCCUUCCCGCUCGUGUCUUGUGUUGCAGCCAGUGGAGCUGCCUGUCUCUCUCUCUCAGCCUCUCUGUCUACCCGGUGAUGAUGAACUGAGCUUCUGAAAAUAGAUGGAUCCUAUCACCUAUGGUCCUGCCAGCUUUGCUCCAGACUUUACAGCUACAGUUUGUGCCAAAUUGCUGUCAUUUUAUGUAUUAAAAAAAGA